UACGAAGGGUGCAAACGUUGCUCGGAAUCAUUGGGCGUAAAGCGCACGUAGGCGGCUUUGCAAGUCGGACGUGAAAUCCCUCAGCUCAACUGAGGACGUGCAUCCGAAACUGCAAGGCUUGAGUACUGAAGAGGAUCGCGGAAUUCCCGGUGUAGAGGUGAAAUUCGUAGAUAUCGGGAGGAACACCAGUGGCGAAGGCGGCGAUCUGGGCAGAUACUGACGCUGAGGUGCGAAAGCGUGGGGAGCAAACGGG
rnacentral:rRNA from 1 species